CAGUCUGGUGCCAGCAGCCGCGGUAAUUCCAGCUCCAAUAGCGUAUAUUAAAGUUGUUGCAGUUAAAAAGCUCGUAGUUGAAUUUCGGGGUUAGUAGGUUGGUCAUGCCUCUGGUAUGCACUGGCCUCACUGAUUCCUCCUUCCUGAUGAGCCGUAAUGCCAUUAAUUUGGUGUUGCGGGGAAUUUGGGCUGUUACUUUGAAAAAAUUAGAGUGUUUAAAGCAANGCUAACGCUUGAAUACAUUAGCAUGGAAUAAUGAAAUAGGACGUUCGAUCCUAUUUUGUUGGUUUCUAGGAUUGACGUAAUGAUUAAUAGGGAUAGUUGGGGGCAUUAGUAUUCAAUUGCCAGAGGUGAAAUUCUUGGAUUUAUUGAAGACUAACUACUGCGAAAGCAUUUGCCAAGGAUGUUUUCAUUAAUCAAGAACGAAAGUUAGGGGAUCGAAGACGAUCAGAUACCGUCGUAGUCUUAACCAUAAACUAUGCCGACUAGGGAUCGGAUGAUGUUAAUUUUUUAAUGACUCA
rnacentral:rRNA from 2 species